rnacentral:rRNA from 1 species
AUACGGUAGGUCCGGGCGUUAUCCGGAUUUAUUGGGUUUAAAGGGAGCGCAGGCGGAGAUGCAAGCGUGACGUCAAAUUUCGGGGCUCAACCCCGUCUCGCGUCGCGAACUGCGUCCCUUGGUUGCGGGAAGGGGAGGCGGAACUCGUGGUGUAGCGGUGAAAUGCAUAGAUAUCACGAAGAACUCCGAUCGCGAAGGCAGCCUUCCGGCCCGUCAACGACGCUCAUGCUCGAAGGUGCGGGUAUCAAACAGGAUUAGAUACCCUGGUAGUCCGCACAGUAAACGAUGGACACCCGCGGUUUGGCCUGUAUGGCUGAGCCGCCAAGCGAAAGCGUUAAGUGUCCCACCUGGGGAGUACGCCGGCAACGGUGAAACUCAAAUGAAUUGACGGGG